rnacentral:rRNA from 1 species
UACGUAGGGUGCAAGCGUUGUCCGGAAUUACUGGGCGUAAAGAGUUCGUAGGCGGUUUGUCGCGUCGUUUGUGAAAACCAGCAGCUCAACUGCUGGCUUGCAGGCGAUACGGGCAGACUUGAGUACUGCAGGGGAGACUGGAAUUCCUGGUGUAGCGGUGAAAUGCGCAGAUAUCAGGAGGAACACCGGUGGCGAAGGCGGGUCUCUGGGCAGUAACUGACGCUGAGGAACGAAAGCGUGGGUAGC